GUCUCAGUAGUGUAAGGGUAGAGCACGGUGCCCGGAAGGCACGAGUACAGGUUCAAGUCCCGUCCGAGACU
rnacentral:tRNA from 1 species